AGAGUUUGAUCCUGGCUCAGGAUGAACGCUGGCGGCGUGCCUAACACAUGCAAGUCGAGCGAGAAUUCCAUAAUUGAAGCUUCGGUUGAUUUUAUGGAAGGAAAGCGGCGGACGGGUGAGUAACGCGUAGGCAACCUACCUCUUGCAGAGGGAUAGCCUCGGGAAACCGGGAUUAAAACCUCAUAAUGCCAUGUUUAGACAUCUUUACAUGGCCAAAGAUUUAUCGGCAAGAGAUGGGCCUGCGUCUGAUUAGUUAGUUGGUGGGGUAACGGCCUACCAAGGCGACGAUCAGUAGCCGACCUGAGAGGGUGAUCGGCCACAUUGGAACUGAGACACGGUCCAAACUCCUACGGGAGGCAGCAGUGGGGAAUAUUGCACAAUGGGCGAAAGCCUGAUGCAGCAACGCCGCGUGAAGGAAGAAGGCCUUUGGGUCGUAAACUUCUGUUCUAAGGGAAGAUAAUGACGGUACCUUAGGAGCAAGUCCCGGCUAACUACGUGCCAGCAGCCGCGGU
rnacentral:rRNA from 1 species